GGGUUGUGAGGUUAAGCGACUAAGCGUACACGGUGGAUGCCCUGGCAGUCAGAGGCGAUGAAGGACGUGCUAAUCUGCGAUAAGCGUCGGUAAGGUGAUAUGAACCGUUAUAACCGGCGAUUUCCGAAUGGGGAAACCCAGUGUGUUUCGACACACUAUCAUUAACUGAAUCCAUAGGUUAAUGAGGCGAACCGGGGGAACUGAAACAUCUAAGUACCCCGAGGAAAAGAAAUCAACCGAGAUUCCCCCAGUAGCGGCGAGCGAACGGGGAGCAGCCCAGAGCCUGAAUCAGUGUGUGUGUUAGUGGAAGCGUCUGGAAAGGCGCGCGAUACAGGGUGACAGCCCCGUACACAAAAAUGCACAUACUGUGAGCUCGAUGAGUAGGGCGGGACACGUGGUAUCCUGUCUGAAUAUGGGGGGACCAUCCUCCAAGGCUAAAUACUCCUGACUGACCGAUAGUGAACCAGUACCGUGAGGGAAAGGCGAAAAGAACCCCGGCGAGGGGAGUGAAAAAGAACCUGAAACCGUGUACGUACAAGCAGUGGGAGCACGCUUCGGCGUGUGACUGCGUACCUUUUGUAUAAUGGGUCAGCGACUUAUAUUCUGUAGCAAGGUUAACCGAAUAGGGGAGCCGAAGGGAAACCGAGUCUUAACUGGGCGUUAAGUUGCAGGGUAUAGACCCGAAACCCGGUGAUCUAGCCAUGGGCAGGUUGAAGGUUGGGUAACACUAACUGGAGGACCGAACCGACUAAUGUUGAAAAAUUAGCGGAUGACUUGUGGCUGGGGGUGAAAGGCCAAUCAAACCGGGAGAUAGCUGGUUCUCCCCGAAAGCUAUUUAGGUAGCGCCUCGUGAAUUCAUCUCCGGGGGUAGAGCACUGUUUCGGCAAGGGGGUCAUCCCGACUUACCAACCCGAUGCAAACUGCGAAUACCGGAGAAUGUUAUCACGGGAGACACACGGCGGGUGCUAACGUCCGUCGUGAAGAGGGAAACAACCCAGACCGCCAGCUAAGGUCCCAAAGUCAUGGUUAAGUGGGAAACGAUGUGGGAAGGCCCAGACAGCCAGGAUGUUGGCUUAGAAGCAGCCAUCAUUUAAAGAAAGCGUAAUAGCUCACUGGUCGAGUCGGCCUGCGCGGAAGAUGUAACGGGGCUAAACCAUGCACCGAAGCUGCGGCAGCGACACUAUGUGUUGUUGGGUAGGGGAGCGU
rnacentral:rRNA from 1 species